UACGGAGGGUGCAAGCGUUAUCCGGAUUCACUGGGUUUAAAGGGUGCGUAGGUGGCGGGGUAAGUCAGGUGUGAAAUCUCGAGGCUCAACCUCGAAACUGCACUUGAUACUGCCUUGCUAGAGUACUGGAGAGGAGAUUGGAAUUUACGGUGUAGCAGUGAAAUGCGUAGAUAUCGUAAGGAAGACCAGUGGCGAAGGCGAAUCUCUGGACAGUUACUGACACUGAGGCACGAAGGCCAGGGGAGCAAACGGG
rnacentral:rRNA from 1 species